rnacentral:rRNA from 1 species
GACGAACGCUGGCGGCGUGCUUAACACAUGCAAGUCGAGCGAUGAAGCUCCUUCGGGAGUGGAUUAGCGGCGGACGGGUGAGUAACACGUGGGUAACCUGCCUCAUAGAGGGGAAUAGCCUUCCGAAAGGAAGAUUAAUACCGCAUAAGAUUGUAGUACCGCAUGGUACAGCAAUUAAAGGAGCAAUCCGCUAUGAGAUGGACCCGCGUCGCAUUAGCUAGUUGGUGAGGUAACGGCUCACCAAGGCGACGAUGCGUAGCCGACCUGAGAGGGUGAUCGGCCACAUUGGGACUGAGACACGGCCCAGACUCCUACGGGAGGCAGCAGUGGGGAAUAUUGCACAAUGGGGGAAACCCUGAUGCAGCAACGCCGCGUGAGUGAUGACGGUCUUCGGAUUGUAAAACUCUGUCUUCAGGGACGAUAAUGACGGUACCUGAGGAGGAAGCCACGGCUAACUACGUGCCAGCCGCCGCAGUAAAAC